rnacentral:rRNA from 1 species
ACGGAAGGCAGCAGUGGGGAAUAUUGCACAAUGGGGGAAACCCUGAUGCAGCGACGCCGCGUGAGUGAAGAAGUUAUUCGUAAUGUAAAGCUCUAUCAGCAGGGAAGAAAAUGACGGUACCUGACUAAGAAGCCCCGGCUAACUACGUGCCAGCAGCCGCGGUAAUACGGAGGGGGCAAGCGUUAUCCGGAUUUACUGGGUGUAAAGGGAGCGUAGACGGUCUGGCAAGUCUGAUGUGAAAGGCAGGGGCUCAACUCCUGGACUGCAUUGGAAACUGUCAGUCUUGAGUGUCGGAGAGGUAAGCGGAAUUCCUAGUGUAGCGGUGAAAUGCGUAGAUAUUAGGAGGAACACCAGUGGCGAAGGCGGCUUACUGGACGAUAACUGACGUUGAGGCUCGAAAGCGUGGGGAGCAAACAGGAUUAGAUACCCUGGUA